GCCAGCCCAGAUCAGGGCCAUGAGCCAAGGCUUGGCCUUGCUGUGAGCAAGGGCUGUGAGGAAGAUUUGGCAAAAUUUUAAUUAACUGAAGAUAAACAUACAUGGGGAGAACCAGUCCAUUAGCUGUCCGUGCCACCUAGUGAGAAAAGGCCCGCUAAUCACACACCGCAGCAGCCCAGGAAAGGCAGAAACACACGCUCAGCACAAUGACGUUGGAAUGGAACUUCCCUGGAGGGUGGCCACUGGAAAUCAAGCCAAGGGAACCCAAAGUGAAGACCUGUCCUGGAGUCAGGCCCGGGCCAGUUGGGGCCAGAAGAGGAGGCGGGGCAGCCCUGUACCUGCCUGAGGUGCUGGUCUGCUCCCACCCUGACGACAAUGGAUUAAGCCUCUGAAGCUGUAAGCACCCCCCCCACCCCUUAAAUGCUUUCCUUUAUAAAAUUUGCUUGGUCACGGUGUCUCUUCACAGCAAUAGAACACUAAGACAUGUGAAUUAUUUGCUGAGUCUUAACAUUUAUAAUCACCUGGGCAAAAUAAAGUCCCAUGAAGUUCUAUGGAACAUUUCUACCAGAAAGUUCUCCUCUGCUCUUUCUCAGGUCCUGCCUUCCUCCACCUCUAUGGCUAUUUCCCAACCACCAUUCAUACUUUCUUUUCCCAAAUAGAUUACUCGAAUGGUCCAUUAUUCUUGGCUUGACUAGAUUUAGAAUUACCUAGGAGAUAUACCUUUUAGGGUCUUUCAUGGCAUUUCCAUGGAGGUUUAACUGAAGAGUAGACUUACCC
rnacentral:sRNA from 1 species